rnacentral:lncRNA from 10 species
CUUCAGGACUGAUAAUUAAGAGGACCUGAGAACCUUGCUGCCCAUGGUAUGGUUUCGGUUGGGGGAAAAAAAAAGUGCUGUAAUGCACAAAUUCUUGUUGAUGGCUCUGUAUUAGUUUCCUAAGACUUGCCAGAACAAAGUACCACAGACUGGGUGGCCUAAACAACAGAAGGGUAUUGUCUCACAGUUCUGGAAGCUAGAAGUGCAAAGUCAAUGUGUCAGCAGGAUUGGUUCCUUUUGGGACAUGUGAGAAUUUGUUCAGUGUGUCUCUUCUGGCUUCUGGUGGCCUCAGGUGUUCUUUGGCUUAUAGAUGUUGUUCUCUGUGUCUUUAUACCAUCUUUGCCCUGUAUAUGUCUGGCUCUGUUUCCAACUUUCCCCUUUUUAUGAGGACACCAGUCAUAUUGGAUUACAGCCCGCCCUAAUUACUUCAUCAUAAUUGCAUCAUCUGCAAAGAGCCUGUUUCCAAACAUGAUGGUUAAUACUGAGUGUCUACUUAAUUGGAUUGAAGGAUGCAAAGUAUUGCUCCUGGAUGUGUCUGUGAGGGUGUUGCCAAAGGAGAUUAACAUGUGGGUCAGUGGACUGGGAGAGGCAGACCCACCCUCAAUCUGAGUGGGCACCAUCUAAUCAGCUGCCAGCCAGCCAGGACAAAAGCAGGCAGAGGAACAUGGAAGGACUGGACUUACUGAGUCUUCUGGCCUCCAUCUUUCUCCAGUUCUGGAUGCUUCCUGCCCUCGAACAUCAGACUCCACAUUCUUCAGCUCUUUGACUCUUGAACAUACACCAGUGAUUUUCCAGGGACUCUCAGGCCUUUGGCCACAGACUGAAGGCUGCUCUGUCGGCUUCCCUACUUUUGAGGUUUUGGGACUCACACUGGCUUCCUUGCUCUUCAGCUUGUAGAUGGCCUAUUGAGGGACUUCGCCUUGUAAUCAGGAUUUACGACUACCCGUCUUCUCUCAGACUCUGCUCCUGGGAUGUAACAUUCAUUGCUUGCUAUGUCUAUACCUCACUACAUGCAAUGCACCUUUAGAAGACUGUCUCCUUACUCCAUAAUGGAAUUUGUCUCUGACCUAUUGCAGCUAUGAGAUAAGCAUUACCUGCCCCAGAGGCUACCUGCCACUCAGUGAAGAUCAUAUGCCUAAGUCAUGACAUCAACAUCAAACUCUCUUCAAAUCUGGGAGAAAGGCUCAGCUCUUACAACCAGGACAAGAAGAAAUGACACCAGUAGAGAGAUCAUUUGGUGAGCAGCAGGGUUGAAAGAGCCUCAAACCAUGGAGAGAGAGCCUGGAUCUCGAGUAGAAAGGCUUCUGGCACUGAAGAAGUCAAACAGGAUCCCUGAGAGGGAAAAAGCCAGGAGCUUGGGGAAUUAUCUUCACCAAGGUCUGUCUAGAGAUGUGGUUGGCAGAUUUAUGACCCCCAAAGAUGUCUACAUCCUAAACCCAGGAAUCUUUUAGAAAAUAAAUCUUCAUUAUAUCUCCUGAAGAUAAGACACCCAUCUGUCAGUUCAUUACAGUGGUUGUAGAGAAAACAUUUGGAAGGGGUGAUUUAACAAGAAGUAAUUCUUGGCUAGUGGGAACUCCCCAACUGCAGAGAAACAGAAUGGAUUGCAUCUUGGAAAACACCAAAGUUGGAAAGAACUCAAAACCCUGCUAGAGAGGAAACCAACCUGGAAAAGCCUCCUCACACUCAGGAUAGCAUUGCUAAGGCAGCAGAUGCUGGAGAAGAGUGGACAGCUGCCAAGUAUGGGGGAACAAUAGCCAAGGUUGUAGACAUGGCAUUCUGGGGUGUGUCGACAACAGUCAUCAGUGAAUAUAUGGCAACUGGGAAAGAAUGGAUAAGCUGGGUGUUGGGAAACAACAUCAAGAACUGGAGAGAGUGUUGAAGACUUGUCCUUUCUCAGAACCCAGGUUGCUGGGCACAGGUUGCUAAGACUGAGUAAAACAAGAAAAGCAAUGGGGAACCUCACUCACAUCCAUGCUUCCUUGUCUCAUCUGUAUGUAUGAUUUUUGCACAACUUAUUUGAUACUUUGGACAUAAAGCAAGGAAUGAGACGGGGAGAUAGGAAGCUCUCUUAUUCCUAAACUCUUAUUACAGUCUCCACUGUUUCCAGCCUCCUCAUGUAUGUCCAGAGUCAACAACAGGCCUAGAAAGCUGGAAAUGGAAGCAGCAGAAACCUUUGUUCCUCCAGGGUUUAGGAUGGCAAUGGGGAACAAGUGUUCAUCCCUAUAUUGCACACAGCACUCAUCCUGUUCACAGAUCCACAGGAAAUAACUAGAGCUCAUCAGUCCUCCUAGGCCAUGAAUUUUCAAAACAAUCCUAGCACCUAUGGGGCAUCGUGGUCAUCCAAGCCCUAAGAAGGCUGCUGUCCAUCCAGUCAAGGCUAUCGGAGGGUGUCUGAGGUGUCCUCUCCCUCCUUAUCUGCACCCCUUCCCCUUCCUGCCUUCUCAGCCAGCAGCAGCAUUGCUUCAUUGAGGAAACCUGCACAACACACAAGCAACUAAGAGGCUUCUGGAUUUCAAAAGCCUGAGUUUUGAAGAUCUCAGCCUCCAGCAUUUAUGUCAUAAACAAAAUAUUUGGACCAUUGAUGGAGAGACUUUUACCCUCAGGCUAGAUUAAGAUUCACUAAUCAAGAGAAAGAAAAGAAGCAAAUCGGACCUGAAGAAGGUAGCUGAACCUUGAAGAGGGGAAUAACAGAAACUCAAGGUCAGGUGGAAAAAUCCAAGAGUACUUUACUGAGUUGUGAUGAGGAGACUCAUAGAAGCUUCACAUUUCUCUGACUGGGGCCAACAGGUCCUCCUCCCACACUCUGGACAGCCAGAUUCCUAUUUGGCAUUAAUCUGUGUGUUCCACAGUCCGCUUCUACAGCCUCAGGAAACCUCCCGUCAACACUGGGACCUCGGUAUGGGGCAAAUUUCAGGAGGAAAAGAAUAAAAGGAAUAAAAGUUAAGUCCUCCAGUAUUUUUUGGCAGAAAGGUGAGGAGCAAAGUUCCAAUGACUCAGGAUCAGUGAUAGAAGUUGUUGGUCCAUGGGGAAAAGAAUUGGGCAUCUCCAGCUCUGUGAUCUUUCUUCCAGGCCCUUGACCUGCCACCAGCAUUUUACAUACCCACGCAUACACACACAAUUAUAUUCCCCAAAAAUACUCCCCAAAGAGGAUUUCCAGAGUGCUUUUAGAUCCUUUGACAUUUCCAACCUCUCCUCCAGUGAUUUAAAAAAAAAAUCUUCACUAGAAUCAUAAUGUCUCUGGUAUUUCUUUUCAAGAAAUUCCAAUCACAUAAUUGAACAGGGUUGAGUUGUAGGAGAGGGUUAAGAAGAACAGGCUCUCUGAGUGACAGUCACACUCAGGCGCCAUCUGGCUGCAACCCACUGUAUCAACAGCCAAACCAUGAGGUCCACACAGGUUACACUGGCGGGUACGCAGAGGCAGGGACAUCUAUCUAGUAGCAAGGCGCCUCACUGUGCAGAUCUGGGCACAUAGCUUCAUCGGAAUUCCUCCCACACCAGCCUCAAACAAGCUGCCCUUUACUGAGUGAGGUUUUCAGGGGAUGCAGGUAGGAAAAGAUUAAACAGUGAAUAACUUUAUUUAUUAUUCCUAACCCAUAGCCAUCUCGGAGGGCUGGAAUAGCUCCCUGGCUCCCUGGGUCUCAGAGAUGCCUAUAGGUCUAGGCUGUGGGUACGCCUGUGGUUUGGGGUUUGUUCUGCUUUCAUUGUGAGCCAAACCUCCAACAAUCCCUACACCCUGGGUGGUUACUAUUGAUUUUUUUUUUU